UAGGGAAUCUUCCGCAAUGGACGCAAGUCUGACGGAGCAACGCCGCGUGAGCGAUGAAGGUCUUCGGAUCGUAAAGCUCUGUUGUCAGGGAAGAACACGUGUGAGAGUAACUGCUCACACCUUGACGGUACCUGACCAGAAAGCCACGGCUAACUACGUGCCAGCAGCCGCGGUAAUACGUAGGUGGCAAGCGUUGUCCGGAAUUAUUGGGCGUAAAGGGCUCGCAGGCGGUCCCUUAAGUCUGAUGUGAAAUCUUGCGGCUUAACCGCAAGCGGUCAUUGGAAACUGGGGGACUUGAGUACAGAAGAGGAGAGUGGAAUUCCACGUGUAGCGGUGAAAUGCGUAGAGAUGUGGAGGAACACCAGUGGCGAAGGCGGCUCUCUGGUCUGUAACUGACGCUGAGGAGCGAAAGCGUGGGGAGCAAACA
rnacentral:rRNA from 1 species